rnacentral:misc_RNA from 1 species
AACGCACGAGACCUGCGGACCUGCGGAGGGAUCAUUAAUGAGAAGCUGCCCCUCGUGGGUAGACCUCCCACCCUCUGUGAACUUACCUUUGUUGCUUUGGCAGGCCCGUCCUCUGGACCGCCGGCUUCGGCUGGCCCGUGCCUGCCAGAGGAUUCCAAACCCUGUCUGUCAGUGUUGUCUGAGUCUAUAUGAAAUCGUUGAAACUUUUAGCAACGGAUCUCUAGAUCGGAAGAGCACACG